rnacentral:rRNA from 1 species
GAACGAACGCUGGCGGCAUGCCUAACACAUGCAAGUCGAACGAGACCUUCGGGUCUAGUGGCGCACGGGUGCGUAACGCGUGGGAACCUGCCCUUAGGUUCGGAAUAACUCCCCGAAAGGGGUGCUAAUACCGGAUAAUGUCUUCGGACCAAAGAUUUAUCGCCUUUGGAUGGGCCCGCGUUGGAUUAGCUAGUUGGUAGGGUAAAAGCCUACCAAGGCGACGAUCCAUAGCUGGUCUGAGAGGAUGAUCAGCCACACUGGGACUGAGACACGGCCCAGACUCCUACGGGAGGCAGCAGUGGGGAAUAUUGGACAAUGGGCGAAAGCCUGAUCCAGCAAUGCCGCGUGAGCGAUGAAGGCCUUAGGGUUGUAAAGCUCUUUUACCCGGGAUGAUAAUGACAGUACCGGGAGAAUAAGCUCCGGCUAACUCCGUG